ensembl:lncRNA
CUGAUGAGAAAUCCGGUGUAGUUUUUUAAUCCUCUACAGGCGAACAGGCUACAGUUAAUAUUUAGGCUACAAAAAUGUACUGAAUUAUGUUUUAAGUCAACUGUGCAUGUCAUGGCUUUGAGACACUUGGAUUGCAGUGGACAAGCAGUAGAUCAAGGACCUGGACAAAGGACCAUGAGUCUGCCUCAUCACAUCCGAGAAAAGGAGGGUCAAGACCUGUGAAAAAGAGGACACCUACAGAGGACCAGGAGUCUGAUACAUCACAGCCAGAAGAAAGAAAGAAAAACGAUUCAUCAAGAAAGAAGAGGAAGAUGUGGAGCAAAGAAGAAGUCCAAGCUGUGGAACAGGAGCUGAUGCACAGCAUUAAGACUGGCAAGGUUCCUGGUAAAGCACAGUGUCUUGAAUGUAUCCGUGCAUUUCCAGAGGCACUUAAAGGUAGGACCUGGGAUGCUGUCAAGUACUACGUGAAAAACAGAAUAGACGCUUGGAAGCGGCAGUCAAUGUCACACUAACUGCAAGUUGUUCUUGCUCUUUUGUGUUCGAAAGAGGCAGUUCUAACAGUGACCAUCGUUUGAUCUGAGUCAUAAUUUUUUAUUUAUUUUAAGAGGUACAAUUUGUAUCGGUUGUGCUAAAUUUAAAAAUGUUAUUACCAC